UAGUGCCCGUAGUUAAAGAAUCACCCAAAUGCAGUCCAUUUACCAUAUCACUAUUUGCAAAAAUUCUCAUGAAAACCAGAUCAGUAUUAUAAUUUACAUCAUAAUGACAGACCACAAAGUAAAGCUUGAUUCCUCCUGAACAUGUGAUAAAGGAGCCAACUGAUAUAGAAGCAUUUAACAUGUCAGGACAGUGAGCCUCGUUACAAAAGAAACACGAACCAGCCACAAUGGAACUAUUUUCAGAUCAUGCUGGAAACUGUUUGUAAUGGCUCUGGCUAAGUGACGGAUACGUUUAUGAAAGGCUUUCUGCUCAUGUGAUAACGUUUUACUUCCCAACCAAUGGCUGAAUUUAUCAAAUGGAUCAAAAAUACAGCCAGCAGCCGCUUUGCCGUCUGUCCUUGGUUCCUCUGCUGACUCCCUGUCUUUUCUCGUCAGUGUUCCAGUCCUUUGAACUUUGUGGUGAGGUACAAACCUGACGAGCAGCCGCUGCUCAUCCCUCACCACGACGCCUCCACAUUCACAGUUAAUAUAGCUCUGAACAGCAAAGGCAUUGACUACCAGGCUCAGUUUGACUUGGCCUUUGUAGUUAGAUAUAAACCCGACGAGCAGCCCGCGCUGAGGCCACACCAUGACGCCUCCACAUUCACUGUAAACAUUGCACUCAAUCAAGUCAGCCGCCAUUUCCAGGGUGGCGGCUGCAGAUUCCUUCGCUACGACUGCUCCAUUGAAGCGCCACGGAAAGGGUGGGCGCUCCUCCACCCGGCCGUCUCACCCACUACCAC